rnacentral:rRNA from 1 species
GGAAUAUUGGGCAAUGGGCGCAAGCCUGACCCAGCAACGCCGCGUGAGUGAAGAAGGCUUUCGGGUUGUAAAGCUCUGUUAUGUGGGACGAAGAGCGUGACGGUACCACAUAAGGAAGCCCCGGCUAACUACGUGCCAGCAGCCGCGGUAAUACGUAGGGGGCGAGCGUUGUCCGGAAUGACUGGGCGUAAAGGGCGUGUAGGCGGCUUUAUAAGUCUGGAGUGAAAGUCCUGCUUUCAAGGUGGGAACUGCUUUGGAUACUGUAGAGCUUGAGUGCGGAAGAGGUAAGUGGAAUUCCCAGUGUAGCGGUGAAAUGCGUAGAGGUUGGGAGGAACACCAGUGGCGAAGGCGACUUACUGGGCCGUAACUGACGCUGAGGCGCGAAAGCGUGGGGAGCGAACA